GGGACUGUGGGAGAAAAGUCCCUGUUUUACUGAAGCCCUCAUUUGAGUCGGCUCUGGAGCUUCUAGUGGAUUCUCGUGAGGCAUGUGGGAUCACCAGUAAGAAUCCCUUCGUCUUUGCCCGACCAAAUGCUCUAUCUAACUACAGGGGGACAGAUUGUCUUCAAGGAUUUAUCAAAGAAUGUGGAGCUCAAAACUCUGAAGGUCUGACAUCAAAAAAUGUCCGCAAGCAUUUUGCAAAAAUGUUACAACUGAUGAACCUGGAUGAAAAUGAAGCCAACCAAAUUUUUGGGCCUAAUAACAAAAUUCAGAUCCUGCGGCAGUGCAAUGACUCCACACUGGAUGAUAUUGAAAUGGAUUCUGAAGCUGACUCGUGGGAUCAUAGUGAAGGCAGACCAGCAUCUC